rnacentral:rRNA from 1 species
AGAGUUUGAUNNUGGCUCAGAUUGAACGCUGGCGGAAUGCUUUACACAUGCAAGUCGAACGGCAGCACGGGGCAACCUGGCGGCGAGUGGCGAACGGGUGAGUAAUACAUCGGAACGUGCCCAAUCGUGGGGGAUAACGUAGCGAAAGUUACGCUAAUACCGCAUACGAUCUACGGAUGAAAGCGGGGGAUCGCAAGACCUCGCGCGAAUGGAGCGGCCGAUGUCAGAUUAGGUAGUUGGUGGGGUAAAGGCUCACCAAGCCGACGAUCUGUAGCUGGUCUGAGAGGACGACCAGCCACACUGGGACUGAGACACGGCCCAGAUUGGGCACUCUAAUGAGACUGCCGGGUGACAAGCCGGAGGAAGGUGGGGAUGACGUCAAGUCCUCAUGGCCCUUAUAGGUGGGGCUACACACGUCAUACAAUGGCUGGUACAGAGGGUUGCCAACCCGCGAGGGGGAGCUAAUCCCAUAAAACCAGUCGUAGUCCGGAUCGCAGUCUGCAACUCGACUGCGUGAAGUCGGAAUCGCUAGUAAUCGCGGAUCAGAAUGUCGCGGUGAAUACGUUCCCGGGUCUUGUACACACCGCCCGUCACACCAUGGGAGCGGGUUCUGCCAGAAGUAGUUAGCCUAACCGCAAGGAGGGCGAUUACCACGGCAGGGUUCGUGACUGGGGUGAAGUCGUAACAAGGUAGCCGUAUCGGAAGGUGCGGCUGGAUCACCUCCUUU